rnacentral:rRNA from 1 species
GGGGAUUGAAAUAUGGAUUAAUACGAAAAAGAAGAAAUUGAAUUUUUGUACCUUGUGUAUCAGGGUUUAUUAAAAAAAAGCUAAUAAAUUAGAAGUCUCGAAUUAUAAAGAGCUAAUAUUAUAUAUAUAUAACUGUGGCAUAAUUUUUUAUAAUAUAAUAUUAGAAAUGAAACGUUAGUCGUUUUUUAAGAUAUCUAGUUUUUUAAGAAAUAAAUUUAAUUUAGUUAAUUUAAUAUUUUGUGUUACAUUGUUAAUAUGAAGUUUAAAUUAGGCAAUAUUUUAAGGGAUAAGCUUUAAAAUAGAUGUUUAAAAUAUUAGUUUUAGUUUAGAAAGUAUGUAGGAUUGGAAAUUUUUAUCUUUAGUUUGUUAUAAUUAACUUUUUAGUUGAUAAGAUUUAUAUUGGUAUUUAGUUUGUUUAUUAAAAUAAAUUAUUUAAUAUAUUAUUAUAUGUAAUAAUGAUAGAAUUAGUAUAGUUUGAUGUUUAAAUAAGUUAGGAGAUAAAGGUUAAAUUAAGGAACUCGGCAAAUAUGUUUUUCGCCUGUUUAUUAAAAACAUGUCUUUUUGAUCAUAAUUUAAAGUCUGGCCUGCCCAAUGAGGAGUUGAAUGGCCGCGGUAAUUUGACCGUGCAAAGGUAGCAUAAUCAUUAGUUUUUUAAUUGAAAGCUGGUAUGAAUGGUCGGACGAGAGAACAACUGUCUCGGUUUAAUUGAAAUAGAACUUUAUUUUUAAGUAAGAAAGCUUAAAUGAAUUUAAAAGACGAGAAGACCCUAUAGAGUUUUAUAUAACUUAUAAAGUGUUAGACUUAGAAUUUAAAUGAUUAUUUUAUAAGUUGUAUUUUGUUGGGGCGACAGAAAAAUUGAAUGAACUUUUUUUAUAACAAUUCAUUAAUGUAUGAUUAAAUGAUCCGUUGUUAACGAUUAUAAGAUUAAAUUACCUUAGGGAUAACAGCGUAAUUUUUUUUGAGAGUUCUAAUCGAAAAAAGAGUUUGCGACCUCGAUGUUGGAUUAAAAUUAAUUUUUGGUGUAGGGGCUGAAAUAUUAGGUCUGUUCGACCUUUGAAAUUUUACAUGAUCUGAGUUCAAACCGGAGA